AGAGAAGCUUCUUGUGAGGAUCCUCCGGCUUCUUGCCACGUCUGCAGACUGGGCAGAUUGGCAAACCAAUCCAGGUUCUUCUGGAUUGAGCUGCCCUCCCUUGCUGACUCACCUGUGGUGUCUGCUGAAUUGUGACUCCAGAUAGCUGUGUUAAAGGAAUCCAGCAGCAUCCAGUUCUGCAGUCAUUAGUGGGCAAGAUGGCUUCAUGUUCAGUGAGGCUCAAAAUGCCUUAAUGAGAGGGUGAUUCCUUAGUGAGCGCAAGUGGGACCCUAUGUCCUCUGUGACCUGCAGAGAAGAGACUUCAUACUACCUUCUGGAGAGUGGGCAGUGCUCAGGCAUGGAGGAAGAUUGACUUAUGUGGCAUAUGUGGUAGGCAUUUGGGAUCCUUCUAGCAAUGUUCAGAAGCAUGUGGUCAUCAGGGACAUCUAGAAUAUGUCUGGAGGUUAGAGACGUGGAGAGACAUUACAGAAGAGGCUGAUGUUUGCAGAUCUAAGUCAGCAGCACAUUUGGUGAUGAUGCCACAGAGACUAAGAAACACACACUCAACAGGUCUACUUCCGACCUUUGGGCAGUUCAACCAAUUAAAAGGCAGCACACUCUCUCCUCUUCCCUCCUCCUCCUCCUCCUCCACUUCCUCCUCCUCCUCUUCCUCCUCCCCCUCCUUCUCUCUCUCUCUCUCUCUCUCUCUCUCUCUCUCUCUCUCUCUCUCUCUCACACACACACACACACAUACACACACACUGUCUCUCACUCUCCUGUCCUCUCCUCUCUUCUCCCCUCUCUCCAUUAGCCUUGUCACUUCACCUGUUUGUGAGAGGCCAAAUCUUUUAAGUUCAGACUCCAUUUUAGAGAACCUGACCUUAGUUUAAACUCAGGUAAACUAACAGCCUGGUACCUAGCAUUAGUUUCCAAGUUGCCCUCCAAGGAAACUAGUCUCUAGGCUAAUCCCCAACAGACCAGUGUCUCCAGGUUACACCCUCAGCAAACCUGCACCCUAGGUUACAAGCCCACCCCCUGCCUAGUGACCACCAAUGCAGAGGGGAACAGAAAGUUAAGUUUAUGACAUGACUCCCAGCACCAGCCAAUUAUGUUAAAGGCCACAGUAGCUUUCCAGUUAGAUGCUUGCUCCUUACUGUAAAGCCUCCCCCACCUCAAAACCAUCCCGUGUGAUGGUGGUAUAUUGGAGGGGUCCAAGCUAGCUCAGAUAGAAUAAAGACCCUGCUGUGAGUAGCAUCAGACCGGCUCCUGUCUGUUUUGGGGAGGGGAUCACUACUUUUCCCUGACACUACAUUAGCAGCCAAGAUCUGGAUGGGAUUGAAUACCUUGUCUGGUUUUCUUUGGUGGCUGGUGAAUGUCUUGCCUUUUCAGUAACAGCACUGGAGUCUCCGUUAACAAUGUGUGUAAAGGGGGCUUACUCUGAAAUGACGGUUACUGCUCUCUCUAGAGAAACACUUGUAAAGUCACUAGUGUAAGAACUCUGAGGCCAGCCUGGUGUACAACAGUGAGCUCCAGGACAGCGGGGGCUACACAGAAAAACCUUGUUUAAAAAUUAAAAAAAAAAAAAAAAGCAAAAAACCCAACAACAAAAAAACCAAAUAGAAAACAAAACAACAAAACAAAACAAAAACAAACAAACAAACAACCCAAAUCAAAACAGAAGGCUUCGAAGGUGUCACUGAGGCUGGGUGGACGCCUGUCGGCAGCACGGUUGGGUGGACGCCUGUCGGCAGGACGGUUGGGUGGAUGCCUGUCGGCAGGACGGUUGGGUGGACGCCUGUCGGCAGGACAGUUGCUGUGUACUCCAUGUGAAGCCUCUUUAGCAGGUGAAGCACAGUAAUCGAAAGCAUCUGCCUACAGAGGUGCAUUUCGAAGGUCACGGCUGUCACCGUGCUUCUCCUUGGCUCUUGUCCCCACACCACAACCUACCAUAGACCAUCUUACCAUUUAUUUAAUUCUAUUUUAUGUUUUAUUUUUAAUAUAUUUUAUAUGUUACAUAUUUACAUUUUAUUUUAUGUGUGUUUUGUCCGCAUGUAUGUGUGAGGGUGUCAGAUCCCCUUGGACUUGAGUUACAGAUGGUUAUGAGCCGUCCGGUGGGUGCUAGGGUUUGAACUCGGGACCUCUGGAAGAGCAGCCGGUGCUCUUAACCGCAGAGCCAUCUCUCCAAUCCCUGCUUAUCUUUCAGCUGCUUGUUUUUCUUUACGGGGAUGGGGAAAGUGGGAGACAUAUUGGAUAACUUCACUGAUGAUGCUAGGCAUAAAGACUCCCUGGUCUCAUGUGUCUCUGGAAAAUGGAGGCCACAGCCACCCAGGAGGCAGGCAGCUCUGGAGGGAGGCUAGGUUGGACCUUCUGACUUCCUCAUUGGCCAUCUGUAUUAGUUAUUUUUAAAAUUCCAUGACAAAAUCCCUCACCAGAAGCAGCUUAAAGGAGGCUUUUUUCGCUUCACUGUGCAAAGGACACUGUCUGUCAUGGGGGGAAGACAUGGUGGCUGGUGUGGGAAGUGACUGGUCACAUCACAUCCGCAGUCGGGAGGCAGAAGACAUGGACAGCCAUGUUCAGCUCACUUCUGCUGCGCUUCUGGUCUGGUCCCAGUCGGAGGAAGGUGUUACCCAUACUCAGUGUGGCCGUCCCUCCUCAGUUAAACCUUCCCGGAAGCACCUCCUAGACACACCCAGAAGCGUGUUUCGUAGGACUGCAGGUCCAUUUGAGUCGAUGAUCAAUAACCACCCCCCAGUCUGUCCUCAACAGGCCUCACUGUCCAGACCCCAGGACCGGCCUCUUACGGCAGCCGAGUGUUUGCUCUGGCACCGAUGCACUGGCCAGUUACUUCUCCAUUUGUAACACAGAGAACAGCGUGUGUUUAUAAAAUAAAAAAGAGGGUUUGUCCGCAUGUUAGCUGGUGGUUUGCGGUUAUGAACACAUACCUGUUCAGAGGGGUUUAUCAAACACUGAUUGAUGUGUCUGGGAUAGGAAAUGAAGCACGUGGUUUAUAAACUUGGCAGGUUUGAAUGCCAAGGGGUAACGGGCAUGACCAACACGAAGAGCCGGGAUUUAAAAACGAUCCUGGGUCCUGAAUGUUGUAUUUUUUUCCCUCUGAAGUUUUUUGGGUCAUCUUUCUUCUGAAUUCACUGGCAUUUGAGUUUUUCUAUGCCUUUGGAUGUGUGUAUGUGAUGUGUGUGAUGUGUGUGUGUGUGUGGUGUGUGUGUGUGUGAUGUGUGUGUGUGAUGUGUGUGGUGUGUGUGAUGUGUGUGGUGUGUGUAUGUGUGUGUGUGGUGUGUGUAUAUGUGGUGUGUGUAUGUGUGUGUGUGGUGUGUGUAUAUGUGGUGUGUGUAUGUGUGUGUGUGUGUGUAUAUGUGGUGUGUGUAUGUGUGUGUGUGAUGUGUGGUGUGUGAUGUGUGGUGUGUGUGUGAUGUGUGGUAUGUGUGUGUGUGUGAUGUGUGUGUGGUGUGGUAUGUGUAUGUGUGUGAUGUGUGUGUGUGUAUGUGUGUGUGUGUGUGUGUGUGUGUGUGUGUAGCUUCCAACAGACUGAGACGUUUCUGUGGAGACAUUGGGCCGAAUAGUUGUCAUGGCUAACACCCCACUGCCCGUAGUGAUUGUCUUGUCUUGUAGUGUGUGUGGAGGCAGGGGUGGGUGUUGGGGAUGGGGGAGAGAGGCAUCUCCCAGAAGCCAACACUGUCAUCAGAUUGGUGGAGACAUUCCCUAUUGGUAUUCUGAGGCAGGGUGGGAACAGAAUUGGGAACUUUUCAAAGGCAGAGCUGACCACACUGGUAGAAGGCAGUGACUCUAUUCACACCUCUCCUGAAAUGCUGUGACACUUGAGACAAGUCAGGUGACCGUUGGGGGAGGGUGGCGGCAGUGUGUCAGUCUUUGCCUCUGGUAUCACAGCUGGAAACAGAAGUAGUUUUUUGAGGUUGCUGAUAACCAGAGCGUCUGUUCCUGUGAUAAUCUUGUUAGCAGCGGGGACUGCUUUUGAGUUUGGGGAAGCCUAGUGGAAGCCGCUAUUGUGUCUAAGUGUACAAUUCCCAAGAAGGUCUGUCUGUCUUAGUCACUCAUAAAACAUCCCAAACUAGAACCAAAACUGCCUCUGUGUGGCUGUCCACGUACUACACCCCUGAGGGAUGAGACUGAAGUAUUUAUGACUGGAUAGGUAUGGUGGGUCCCUCAGGCAGUUUCUAAGCAUGUGUGGUAGCCAGGGGUGGACAGUACACUUAGGAGCUGCUGCACUGACCCUGGCCUCCAAGGGACCGUGAUAUGGAAAAAUACUAGUGCAAAGUCAGGUGACCUUGAAUUCUACGAUGUCAACUGGGCUUCCUUAGACUGGCCCUCUCCACUUGGAAUUGGAGGAAACAUCCAAUUGGAACCUGUGUGUGUGUGUGUGUGUGUGUGUGUGUGUGUGUGGCCAUCAAGAUGGCCAUGGAGAAGCCUGAAGCUUGCUCGGAAAGCCCUUGUGAGCAGCAUUGUGUAUACAGACAGGGAGUGAGUGCUGCAAACCAAGGGGCAGCCUUUUCCUGGCAAGGGCUAUUUAGGAGGGAGAUGGAGAGAUGGUGUCAGUGUCAGGGGGAGAGGGAGAGAGUUAGAAGGCACAAGGAAAAGAAGCAGG